rnacentral:lncRNA from 1 species
GUUUCUCCUUUAGUCGGGUUUGAAAAAGGAUAUUGAUAUUAGACACUAUAUAUUAUAUCAUAUAUAGCCACUUCCUUGUAGGGUGAACAACUCUUCAUAUUUCCCGUAGCCAAUGGAAAUGAAUGUUUUAUUUUUCUGCUGAAACAUUUUUACUUCCUUAACAAUAAAUAUUAAGUAUCAUUCAAUUUUCAUAUCAACUAAAGACGACAUAAACAUUUAUAAACAAAACCGACCAAAAGUAAAAAAAGAAUCUAUUUGAUUUUCACGUAUGAAAUAAUUUUGAACAGGAUAAUGACUAUCGCGAUUAAAAAACAUAUUUUUAAAAUGUUAUGUACAUUAACCGGGCGAAGUUAUUCCGAUUUUCAGAGGGGAAUAUGCAGUUUUGUUAAAUGUCAUGUGGGAGAGUUUCAACCAAUCAAAUGUGGUUUCAAUAUCAGCAUUUACAUAAAAGGGAAUAUUAUGUUGGUUUUUUUUUAUAAAAUGGUUGCUUCCUUGCAGUUUUCUUUUUUGUCC